AGUGAGGGCCCUCUGGGUCCAACCUCCCACCCGUGUUUAUUUUACCUUGUUGCUUCGGCGGGCCCGCCUUAACUGGCCGCCGGGGGGCUCACGCCCCCGGGCCCGCGCCCGCCGAAGACACCCUCGAACUCUGUCUGAAGAUUGAAGUCUGAGUGAAAAUAUAAAUUAUUUAAAACUUUCAACAACGGAUCUCUUGGUUCCGGCAUCGAUGAAGAACGCAGCGAAAUGCGAUACGUAAUGUGAAUUGCAAAUUCAGUGAAUCAUCGAGUCUUUGAACGCACAUUGCGCCCCCUGGUAUUCCGGGGGGCAUGCCUGUCCGAGCGUCAUUGCUGCCCUCAAGCCCGGCUUGUGUGUUGGGCCCCGUCCUCCGAUUUCCGGGGGACGGGCCCGAAAGGCAGCGGCGGCACCGCGUCCGGUCCUCGAGCGUAUGGGGCUUUGUCACCCGCUCUGUAGGCCCGGCCGGCGCUUGCCGAUCAACCCAAAUUUUUAUCCAGGUUGACCUCGGAUCAGGUAGGGAUACCCGCUGAACUUAAGCAUAUCAAUAAGCGGG
rnacentral:rRNA from 1 species